AGUGAGGCUUAUAAAACCAUGUCUUUAACAUAAUAUUUGCCUUCAGUUACUUUAUACAGGUGAGAAAUUUUCCUCACCUUUGUCCCCAAUUUUUGUUUGGAAGUAAUUUUACAUCUCAAGGUUUGGGGUCUACAGUUAUUACACUAGGAAAAGCCAUACUUUUAGACCCUCCUCCCACACUUUAAACCAUCCUGUUGGAUUUCCUGACUCUAGUCAUAUAGAAAUGGGUUCAACUUGCUAUAUAUGACUAUGUAAAUUCUCAGAUUUACCACAAGUAUCUUCUAAACUUAGUAGUCACUAAUUAUCUCCCAGACUACCAUAACUAACAAUUAUACCAAAUGAUUUUAACUGUACAACUUGAGUAACUGUCUCCAAACUUCCAAUAUCAGGAGAUACAGGUAUGGCUGAGAUGGUAGAAAGCCCCCCAUGAAACUUUGAUGCUCUGUAUUUAGUUCUGCAUCAUUGACAUGAAAAGCUGGGCUCAGGGACAUGUUUCCAUAAUUCAAUCUAGUGUUGGGGUGAGGUGGUCUUGGGACCGAUGGAUCCCUGAAGCUCAUUCACAGCCAGUCCAGUUUAAUCUGUGAGUUCUAGGCUCACCAAAAGAUCUUGUCCCCCAAAAUAAGGAGUUUAGUAGUUUAGGAAGACACCCAAUGCAACCUCUGGUGUCUACUCAUGUGCACUUGUGCCUGCAUGUAUACACACAAGCACAUAUACACAGAGCAUCAUCUACACACACUGCACAUAUACAAACCAGGCUAGAAUAAAGUUCCAGUAUUCGUUCCUGGUUCUGGGGUGUUGUAGCAGUGGGAUACAAUGGCCACUUUAUAGCACCUCUUCAGCAUUGGUGAGGGAGGCUACUCCUCACCCUUGGGGCAAGUGACAAAGUAACAGGGAGUAUAAGCAGUGUUUAUGUUUUAAAAUCUGAUCUGCCAAUCUCUGUCACUGAAAGGAGUUAAGUCUUCUUCAGGUUAGUAUGCUUGCGUACGACUUUUCCUUGACUUACUCUUUAUAUUUAUACCCGAGUCCACUAAGAGAUUGGUCAACUUGUCGUGACAAUUUUCCUUGCUCUAGUAAUUUGGAGGUAAACACUCUUUCUCUGAUUUUAACAACAUCUCUAUCUUUCCCCUGCAAUUGGGUCUUAGUUUGUUAAUUGACAACUGUUUCAAACAUAUUACCGUCUGAUUCUCUAGUUCACUUUAAAACUCGAAUUAUUAUAGUCUUACUAUCUUAUCGAUUUCUAUGUAUUCUUCAGCGUGCUUUGGCUUCAUCUCCCUGGCGACCACUAACUCUACUCGUUCUUGAUGUCUAAGAACAGAGGAUCCUGUUUAAAUGGACAGUUAGAUGCUCCCUUUUAGAUUUUGUUUGGCCAAAUAUGUCUUCUAGCUCUUUAAAUAGGUGCCAUUUUACUUUCACAUUAGAGUAUUAGGAUUAAAACGAAUAAAAAUAAAUUGACAACGUUCAGCCCAGUAGUAAAACUCUAGCUGAACUUUGAAGUGUUACUUCUCUAGCGGAAUUUAUUCUACAGUCUAAUUGAUUAAAAUCAUGCAGAUGCUACUAAAUAUUUCACCUAAAAUGUAGCAUGGAAAGUGAGAAUUGCAUAUAUGUUCAUUAUUUUAUUAAACCUAUUUGGAAAACAAAAUACUCAAUUACAAAUUAUUCACAGCAUUUUUUUUUUUGUAAACUUGCUAUUUGAACCGGAAGUCUCACUCUUGCUAGGUAAGCCCUCUGGCAUUGAACUGUCUCCAGCCUCAUAACUAGUAUUUACUUUUAUUCUUCCAUUGUAUAAUAAUCAGUAUAUAUUUGGCUAUCUCAGGGAUGAACCCUACAAUUUCCAGUCAUCUAAGCAUGUGCUCGGUCUCUGAACCUUGUCCCAGUAAUCCCACCAAACCUUUCUUGAACAAUUUAUUAAUAUAUAAAUUAUUUAAAAAUGGUUUCCUUAGCAAUAAACCUUAAUAUUUAGUUUUCUUUGGUGUGUCCUUCAGAUAUGAGUGAUGUGAAGAUCAAAAUAAAGAACACAUUUCAGAAAAAAAUAUUACAUUUUUUCAAGGAAAUGGCCUAGAAAUAAGGCUUACAUUCUGCUUUAGAAUAUACCUCUGCUUUGAUACCUUCGUAUAUUAAUUCUAUCUAAAUCUAUAUACAUGUUAUAUAGUUUAUGUCUACUUUAUCUGAGCCACACAUUUUCUUUUCCUCAUUUAACAAACCUUUAUAUUUACAUUGAAGGAGCAGUCUAGGAGGAAAAGAACGUAACAAAGACAAUUUGUGCAUGUCAGAAGAGUUAGCCUACUCC
rnacentral:lncRNA from 1 species